ACGAACGCUGGCGGCGUGCUUAACACAUGCCAGUCGAACGGAAAGGCCCUGCUUUUGUGGGGUGCUCGGGUGGCGAACGGGUGAGUAACACGUGAGUUACCUGCCCUUGACUUUGGGAUAACUUCCGGAAACUGGGGCUAAUACCGGAUAGGAGCUCCUGCUGCCUGGUGGGGGUUGGAAAGUUUCGGCGGUUGGGGAUGGACUCGCGGCUUAUCAGCUUGUUGGUGGGGUAGUGGCUUACCAAGGCUUUGACGGGUAGCCGGCCUGAGAGGGUGACCGGCCACAUUGGGACUGAGAUACGGCCCAGACUCCUACGGGAGGCAGCAGUGGGGAAUAUUGCACAAUGGGCGGAAGCCUGAUGCAGCAACGCCGCGUGCGGGAUGACGGCCUUCGGGUUGUAAACCGCUUUCGCCUGUGACGAAGCGUGAGUGACGGUAAUGGGUAAAGAAGCACCGGCUAACUACGUG
rnacentral:rRNA from 1 species